GUCGUGGUGGACGUGUAGGCCGUCUGAAAUCAUAUCAACACGCUGGAGGUCAAUACGCGAUAGGUUUAUGCGUGACCUCAAUCAUGAACGAACGGCGCCAAGUGGUUCGGGUACUUCUCGGAGGAAACCUUACCAAUAUGCACCACAUCUUCAAUUUCUUCAACGUUGUUUUCAGCAGCGCAUGACUCAUUCAAGCACACUCCCUCCUGAAGCAGAACCUGUUGAACAUGAGGACUCAACCGAACAAUUGUCUGGACGAUCUACCGAUCAAACUUCAUUACCAUCUCAGUCACAGGAUUCUGCUCUGGAGUCGCGCGGCCGGCAAACUGAGACAUGUGCUCAGAUUGAAGAUACUCGACAGUUCAUUUCUUCUGCCUUUGACAGAGUUUUAAGUAGGCCGAGGCCACUUCGAAGACCACAUAGAGUCUUUGAGGAUCUUGCACUGAUCUUCCGAGAUUGUUUAUUAAAAAUAGAGGAGGAGC